UACGUAGGGCGCGAGCGUUAUCCGGAAUUAUUGGGCGUAAAGAGCUCGUAGGCGGCCUGUUGCGUCCGCUGUGAAAUCCCAGGGCUCAACCCUGGGCGUGCAGUGGAUACGGGCAGGCUGGAGGGAGGCAGGGGAGAACGGAAUUCCCGGUGUAGCGGUGAAAUGCGCAGAUAUCGGGAGGAACACCGGUGGCGAAGGCAGUUCUCUGGGCCUGUACUGACGCUGAGAAGCGAAAGCGUGGGGAGCGAACAGG
rnacentral:rRNA from 1 species